rnacentral:rRNA from 1 species
CUAUGCGCCUUGCCAGCCCGCUCAGGUGUGCUAGCCGCCGCGGUAAUACGGAGGGUGCGAGCGUCGUCCGGAAUCACUGGGCGUAAAGGGCGCGUAGGUGGUCAGGUAAGGGUGUGGUGAAAGUCCGGGGCUCAACCCCGGAUCUGCCGUGCCGACUGCUUGACUGGAGCAUUGCAGAGGCAGAUGGAAUUCCGGGUGUAGCGGUGGAAUGCGUAGAGAUCCGGAAGAAGACCGGUGGCGAAGGCGAUCUGCUGGGCAAUGGCUGACACUGAGGCGCGACAGCGUGGGGAGCAAACAGG